rnacentral:rRNA from 1 species
UACGUAGGGUCCGAGCGUUGUCCGGAAUUACUGGGCGUAAAGAGCUCGUAGGUGGUUUGUCGCGUUGUUCGUGAAAACUCACAGCUCAACUGUGGGCGUGCGGGCGAUACGGGCAGACUAGAGUACUGCAGGGGAGACUGGAAUUCCUGGUGUAGCGGUGGAAUGCGCAGAUAUCAGGAGGAACACCGGUGGCGAAGGCGGGUCUCUGGGCAGUAACUGACGCUGAGACGCGAAAGCGUGGGGAGCAAACAGG